UAACGAAGACCAUCGAUCGAUCUCCAGAAUCAUAUACGAUAAUCUCAUAGGAACAUCAUCGUCUCCUAUUAUACCUCUGGUGGGUUUCAAUUCGUGAAUUCUACGAAGAGUGAAGGAUGAUUAGCAAGUAAUUUCAGACAAUGGAGGAGACAAUGAGAUAUUGUCAUUAUAGCUAUUCAUAAAUAUAUGUAUCAAAGGUUAGUAAGAUUCUUAAUUUUUAAAAUUUUGUUGAUUAUGUUUGCAGAGUUCCCUGGUUUUAUUGAGCUUAAGAUACGUUACUUUAUAUAUGGCACAUUGUUUUGAUCUUGUAUUUUAAAACAAAAUCAUCCUUGCCUGUGUAUUAACGAUUUAAUGUGAAGGAUGAUUUGCGAUACAGACAAUGAGACUAUGGGAGAAGCUCUAUGAUUUUGUCAGUGUAGCUAUAAGAAAAUAUAUAUGUAAAAGCAUUCGAUUCUAUUAACAUAAAAAUAUGGAGAAGGGAAGAGUUAUAUAGUCAUUGCCUCAUUGGAGAUAUCCAGAAAUAUAUAUGUAAAAGGUUAGUGCCUCAUGUGACUUUUAUACUGUUGUUUAUUCAUAUUAGUCUUUGUAUGUUUAAUCAAAAGUAGUAUAUCAUAACAACGAUGAAGAUCCUGCAAGAUA